UACAGAGGUCUCGAGCGUUGUUCGGAUUCAUUGGGCGUAAAGGGCGCGUAGGCGGCGGGGUAAGUCUGGUGUGAAAUCUCGGAGCUCAACUCCGAAAUUGCACUGGAUGACUGCUCUGCUAGAGGGCUGGAGAGGAGAUCGGAAUUCACGGUGUAGCAGUGAAAUGCGUAGAUAUCGUGAGGAAGACCAGUGGCGAAGGCGGAUCUCUGGACAGCUCCUGACGCUGAGGCGCGAAGGCUAGGGGAGCAAACGGG
rnacentral:rRNA from 1 species